UACGUAGGGUGCAGGCGUUAAUCGGAAUUACUGGGCGUAAAGCGUGCGCAGGCGGCUUCUCAAGUCAGAUGUGAAAUCCCCGGGCUCAACCUGGGAACUGCGUUUGAAACUGGGAGGCUAGAGUGCGGCAGAGGGGGGUGGAAUUCCACGUGUAGCAGUGAAAUGCGUAGAUAUGUGGAGGAACACCGAUGGCGAAGGCAGCCCCCUGGGCCUGCACUGACGCUCAUGCACGAAAGCGUGGGGAGCAAACAGG
rnacentral:rRNA from 1 species